GGUUAAGCGACUAAGCGUACACGGUGGAUGCCCUGGCAGUCAGAGGCGAUGAAGGACGUGCUAAUCUGCGAUAAGCGUCGGUAAGGUGAUAUGAACCGUUAUAACCGGCGAUUUCCGAAUGGGGAAACCCAGUGUGAUUCGUCACACUAUCAUUAACUGAAUCCAUAGGUUAAUGAGGCGAACCGGGGGAACUGAAACAUCUAAGUACCCCGAGGAAAAGAAAUCAACCGAGAUUCCCCCAGUAGCGGCGAGCGAACGGGGAGGAGCCCAGAGCCUGAAUCAGUGUGUGUGUUAGUGGAAGCGUCUGGAAAGGCGCGCGAUACAGGGUGACAGCCCCGUACACAAAAAUGCACAUACUGUGAGCUCGAUGAGUAGGGCGGGACACGUGGUAUCCUGUCUGAAUAUGGGGGGACCAUCCUCCAAGGCUAAAUACUCCUGACUGACCGAUAGUGAACCAGUACCGUGAGGGAAAGGCGAAAAGAACCCCGGCGAGGGGAGUGAAAAAGAACCUGAAACCGUGUACGUACAAGCAGUGGGAGCCUCUUAAUGGGGUGACUGCGUACCUUUUGUAUAAUGGGUCAGCGACUUAUAUUCUGUAGCAAGGUUAACCGAAUAGGGGAGCCGAAGGGAAACCGAGUCUUAACUGGGCGUUAAGUUGCAGGGUAUAGACCCGAAACCCGGUGAUCUAGCCAUGGGCAGGUUGAAGGUUGGGUAACACUAACUGGAGGACCGAACCGACUAAUGUUGAAAAAUUAGCGGAUGACUUGUGGCUGGGGGUGAAAGGCCAAUCAAACCGGGAGAUAGCUGGUUCUCCCCGAAAGCUAUUUAGGUAGCGCCUCGUGAAUUCAUCUCCGGGGGUAGAGCACUGUUUCGGCAAGGGGGUCAUCCCGACUUACCAACCCGAUGCAAACUGCGAAUACCGGAGAAUGUUAUCACGGGAGACACACGGCGGGUGCUAACGUCCGUCGUGAAGAGGGAAACAACCCAGACCGCCAGCUAAGGUCCCAAAGUCAUGGUUAAGUGGGAAACGAUGUGGGAAGGCCCAGACAGCCAGGAUGUUGGCUUAGAAGCAGCCAUCAUUUAAAGAAAGCGUAAUAGCUCACUGGUCGAGUCGGCCUGCGCGGAAGAUGUAACGGGGCUAAACCAUGCACCGAAGCUGCGGCAGCGACGCUUAUGCGUUGUUGGGUAGGGGAGCGUUCUGUAAGCCUGUGAAGGUGGCCUGUGAGGGUUGCUGGAGGUAUCAGAAGUGCGAAUGCUGACAUAAGUAACGAUAAAGCGGGUGAAAAGCCCGCUCGCCGGAAGACCAAGGGUUCCUGUCCAACGUUAAUCGGGGCAGGGUGAGUCGACCCCUAAGGCGAGGCCGAAAGGCGUAGUCGAUGGGAAACAGGUUAAUAUUCCUGUACUUGGUGUUACUGCGAAGGGGGGACGGAGAAGGCUAUGUUGGCCGGGCGACGGUUGUCCCGGUUUAAGCGUGUAGGCUGGUUUUCCAGGCAAAUCCGGAAAAUCAAGGCUGAGGCGUGAUGACGAGGCACUACGGUGCUGAAGCGACAAAUGCCCUGCUUCCAGGAAAAGCCUCUAAGCAUCAGGUAACAUUAAAUCGUACCCCAAACCGACACAGGUGGUCAGGUAGAGAAUACCAAGGCGCUUGAGAGAACUCGGGUGAAGGAACUAGGCAAAAUGGUGCCGUAACUUCGGGAGAAGGCACGCUGAUAUGUAGGUGAAGCGACUUGCUCGUGGAGCUGAAAUCAGUCGAAGAUACCAGCUGGCUGCAACUGUUUAUUAAAAACACAGCACUGUGCAAACACGAAAGUGGACGUAUACGGUGUGACGCCUGCCCGGUGCCGGAAGGUUAAUUGAUGGGGUUAGCGGUAACGCGAAGCUCUUGAUCGAAGCCCCGGUAAACGGCGGCCGUAACUAUAACGGUCCUAAGGUAGCGAAAUUCCUUGUCGGGUAAGUUCCGACCUGCACGAAUGGCGUAAUGAUGGCCAGGCUGUCUCCACCCGAGACUCAGUGAAAUUGAACUCGCUGUGAAGAUGCAGUGUACCCGCGGCAAGACGGAAAGACCCCGUGAACCUUUACUAUAGCUUGACACUGAACAUUGAGCCUUGAUGUGUAGGAUAGGUGGGAGGCUUUGAAGUGUGGACGCCAGUCUGCAUGGAGCCGACCUUGAAAUACCACCCUUUAAUGUUUGAUGUUCUAACGUGGGCCCCUUACCGGGGUUGCGGACAGUGUCUGGUGGGUAGUUUGACUGGGGCGGUCUCCUCCUAAAGAGUAACGGAGGAGCACGAAGGUUGGCUAAUCCUGGUCGGACAUCAGGAGGUUAGUGCAAUGGCAUAAGCCAGCUUGACUGCGAGCGUGACGGCGCGAGCAGGUGCGAAAGCAGGUCAUAGUGAUCCGGUGGUUCUGAAUGGAAGGGCCAUCGCUCAACGGAUAAAAGGUACUCCGGGGAUAACAGGCUGAUACCGCCCAAGAGUUCAUAUCGACGGCGGUGUUUGGCACCUCGAUGUCGGCUCAUCACAUCCUGGGGCUGAAGUAGGUCCCAAGGGUAUGGCUGUUCGCCAUUUAAAGUGGUACGCGAGCUGGGUUUAGAACGUCGUGAGACAGUUCGGUCCCUAUCUGCCGUGGGCGCUGGAGAACUGAGGGGGGCUGCUCCUAGUACGAGAGGACCGGAGUGGACGCAUCACUGGUGUUCGGGUUGUCAUGCCAAUGGCACUGCCCGGUAGCUAAAUGCGGAAGAGAUAAGUGCUGAAAGCAUCUAAGCACGAAACUUGCCCCGAGAUGAGUUCUCCCUGACUCCUUGAGAGUCCUGAAGGAACGUUGAAGACGACGACGUUGAUAGGCCGGGUGUGUAAGCGCAGCGAUGCGUUGAGCUAACCGGUACUAAUGAACCGUGAGG
rnacentral:rRNA from 1 species